CUAUUCAGCUGAGUGACAUCACUGACUCUCCCUGACUUUGAGCAUCAUUAGCUAUGUGCUGAGGGGGGUAAUGUUCACCACAGAGCUAUGCUAUGAGGAUCCCAGAAGAUAUUGGCCCAGGACCUAGGACAAGCACAAAGGCCUGGUGACACAGAGUGCCUGAUGUGAGGUGACAGAGGAUGUCCCUUCCCUCCCACCACCAUCGUCCCAGGGAUCCUCAGCACCGCUGGGGUGAGCCCUGCCGUCCCUCAGGGCCUGAGCCGCUGCUCAGCCAUUUAAUUCACGAGCUGAGGGGACAGCUGAGCCCAGCAGCUGGUGCACGUGGAGACAUCAGGGGUUCAGAGCAAAACUCCAUGAUCAAAGUCGGUGGUGCUGACACUUCCUACUUAGAGCGCAGCAUUGGAAGUUAGAAAAUCUUUUUCUCUCUUAACAAAGCCUGGAUUUCGAGACCACCACUUUGCCAAGGAGGCAACACAAAAUAAAAAUUC